rnacentral:rRNA from 1 species
UACGUAGGGUGCAAGCGUUAAUCGGAAUUACUGGGCGUAAAGCGUGCGCAGGCGGUUCGCUAAGACAGAUGUGAAAGCCCCGGGCUCAACCUGGGAACUGCAUUUGAAACUGGCGGGCUUGAGUAUGGCAGAGGGGGGUGGAAUUCCGCGUGUAGCAGUGAAAUGCGUAGAGAUGCGGAGGAACACCGAUGGCGAAGGCAGCCCCCUGGGCCAAUACUGACGCUCAGGCACGAAAGCGUGGGGAGCAAACAGG